UGCGGGGUGGAGCAGUCUGGUAGCUCGUCGGGCUCAUAACCCGAAGGUCGUCGGUUCGAAUCCGGCCCCCGCUA
rfam:Halomonas sp. PBN3 contig16, whole genome shotgun sequence.